rnacentral:rRNA from 1 species
GACGAACGCUGGCGGCGUGCCUAAUACAUGCAAGUCGAACGCUGAGGGCGGACCUUGCUUCUCUGCUUGAGUUGCGAACGGGUGAGUAACCCGUAAGUAACCUGCCUUGUACUGGGGGAUAACUAUAGGAAACGAUAGCUAAUACCGCAUAAUAGCUGUUGUUGCAUGAUAACUGUUUGAAAGGUGCAAUUGCUCCGCUACCACAUGGGCCUGCGUUGGAUUAGCUAGUUGGUGGGGCAACGCCUCACCAUGGCGACGAUACAUAGCCGAACGGAGAGGGUGGUCGGCCGCACUGGGAGUGUGACAGGGCCCAGAGGGCUUCAGGAGGGAGCAGGAGGGAAACGUCGGGAAGCGGCGGAAGACAGAGCGAGAAACGCGGCGGGAGGGAAGAAGGGUGUCGGGUCGGAAAGGUCGGUUGUAAGGGAAGAACGAGCGUGAGAGUGGAAAGUUCACAGUGUGACGGUAUCCGAUCAGAAAGGGACGGCUAACUACGUG